GAAGAACGUUGGCGGCGUGCUUAACACAUGCAAGUCGAACGGAAAGGCCCUGCUUUUGUGGGGUGCUCGAGUGGCGAACGGGUGAGUAACACGUGAGUAUCCUGCCCUUGACUUUGGGUUAACUUCAGGAAACUGGGGCUAAUACCGGAUAGGAGCUCCUGCUGCAUGGUGGGGGUUGGAAAGUUUCGGCGGCUUGGGAUGGACUCGCGGCUUAUCAGCUUGGUGGUGGGGUAGUGGCUUACCCAGGCUUUGACGGGUAGCCGGCCUGAGAGGGUGACCGGCCACAUUAGGACUGAGAUACGGCCCAGACUCCUACGGGAGGCAGCAGUGGCGAAUAUUGCACAAUGGGCGGAACCCUGAUGCAGCAACGCCGCGUGCGGGAUGACGGCCUUCGUGUUGUGAACCGCAUUCGCCUGUGACGAAGCGGGAGUGACGGUAAUGGGUAAAGAAGCACCGGCUAACUACGUG
rnacentral:rRNA from 1 species